UCUGACCGAGCAACGCCGCGUGAGUGAAGAAGGUUUUCGGAUCGUAAAACUCUGUUGUUAGAGAAGAACAAGGACGUUAGUAACUGAACGUCCCCUGACGGUAUCUAACCAGAAAGCCACGGCUAACUACGUGCCAGCAGCCGCGGUAAUACGUAGGUGGCAAGCGUUGUCCGGAUUUAUUGGGCGUAAAGCGAGCGCAGGCGGUUUCUUAAGUCUGAUGUGAAAGCCCCCGGCUCAACCGGGGAGGGUCAUUGGAAACUGGGAGACUUGAGUGCAGAAGAGGAGAGUGGAAUUCCAUGUGUAGAGGUGAAAUGCGCAGAGAUAUGGAGGAACACCAGUGGCGAAGGCGACUUUCUGGUCUGUAACUGACGCUGAUGUGCGAAAGCGUGGGGAUCAAACAGGAUUAGAUACCCUGGUAGUCCACGCCGUAAACGAUGAGUGCUAAGUGUUAGGGGUUUCCGCCCCUUAGUGCUGCAGCUAACGCAUUAAGCACUCCGCCUGGGGAGUACGACCGAAGGUUGAAACUCAAARGAAUUGACGGGGACCCGCACAAGCGGUGGAGCAUGUGGUUUAAGUCGAAGCAACGCGAAGAACCUUACCAAAUCUUGACAUCCUUUGACAACUCUAGAGAUAGAGCCUUCCCCUUCGGGGGACAAAGUGACAGGUGGUGCAUGGUUGUCGUCAGCUCGUGUCGUGAGAUGUUGGGUUAAGUCCCGCAACGAGCGCAACCCUUAAGCUUAGUUGCCAUCAUUAAGUUGGGCACUCUAAGUUGACUGCCGGUGACAAACCGGAGGAAGGUGGGGAUGACGUCAAAUCAUCAUGCCCCUUAUGAUUUGGGCUACACACGUGCUACAAUGGACAAUACAAAGGGCAGCGAAACCGCGAGGUCAAGCAAAUCCCAUAAAGUUGUUCUCAGUUCGGAUUGUAGUCUGCAACUCGACUACAUGAAGCUGGAAUCGCUAGUAAUCGUAGAUCAGCAUGCUACGGUGAAUACGUUCCCGGGUCUUGUACACACCGCCCGUCACACCACGAGAGUUUGUAACACCCGAAGCCGGUGGAGUAACCUUUUAGGAGCUAGCCGUCGAAGGUGGGACAAAUGAUUGGGGUGAAGUCGUAACAAGGUAGCCGUAUCGGAAGGUGCGGCUGGAUCACCUCCUUUCUAAGGA
rnacentral:rRNA from 1 species